GAUAUGUUCGAUAGUGACUUCGAUGAAGAUGAACCUGAGCCAGAUGAGGAAGUAGAAAAUGAAGCAGAUGAAAGGGUUCGCACAAAGAAGCGUCUGAUAUUUCCUGGAAAGUCUUCUACGAA